AAUAAUAAAAUGUAGUGAAUUGAAACACUUAAUAUAUAAUUAAAAAGUUUAGAUAAUUAACAAUAUAAAACAAACAAGAUCAUAUUAUUUAAAAUGUAUGUGAUUAGUUUUCAUAAAAGUUAUGUGAAUUGGGAAAACUGAGGAUGCAACUCCAGUCCAGAGGUGGCGCUACUUGCUGCACAUCACGGUUGUUCACAGCCAAACGUUUGAGCGCUGCAUUUCUACUUCCUGUUGCCCUUCAACUGUGUGGGGAGUGGAGCGAGAUCAAUGUUAUGAUACAAAACUAUUGUGGUAUUUUUGUCAUUCUCCUCAACGGGACAUCCAUGUGGCGACAUGGCUGGUAUUAUCUCCGUGUUCAAUCUGGUCAAGCAGAUGAGGGGCCUUCAUUUACUGCCGACAUAGAUGAGGUUCUGAUCAAGAAGGUGAUGCAACGCCCAUGCUCAACCUGGAGGAAGGAGGUUCUCCGGGAGCCAGCAAUUCCAGACUUCCAGAACAGAUGGCACUUUUUGAUGCCAGCGAGAUCAAUUUGGAAUUCAUGUAAAUUGCCACUGUACCUCUGACCUCAAUUCUUUGGUGAACUGGACUAUCGGGCAAGUGGCCUUAUCAGGAUCUUCUGUACCGAAGGUGGAGCUGUAGGACGGAAGAUCUCUGCCAUAAUGACCCACAUGGGACAUGAUGCCGGCGAACUGUCUGUGUAUGAACUUCAGCGACUUGAACAUCUUUGAAGAUUUCACAAGCAUGUGGACAUGCAGCAGAGGAUCUCCGGACUCGGGAUGCAAGUGAGGCCAAAGCAAGAUAAUGAAGACCUUGAAUGCAGACAGGCCUAGGCAGACACUGCUGAGAAGACCAUGGGCAUCUACACAGUCCGGACAGAGGGUGAUGGUCUAGGUGAUGCAUGUUUUGAAGAUGUCUGUGUGGCACUGGACGGUGUGAGUUCUCCAGAGCCUGCGGAGUGUCGGCCAUGCAUGUGUUGGGCUUUAUGAACGAAUCUAUGCACCAACUUGAGCUAUCCAAAAAGACUGCGAAAUAUACAUACAUUUGAGGGUUACCAGAAAGUUCUGAUGGACCUGUACUCAAGCAAGCUUGAAAUAGCUCCUGUGAUUCAGUGGCAUACACGCCUGUUAGACUCUCACUUCGCUUCCGCUCACACUGCCGCAGUGGCAUUGGUUGUGACCCGUAGAUGGUCGACC